rnacentral:rRNA from 1 species
UACGUAGGGUGCAAGCGUUAAUCGGAAUUACUGGGCGUAAAGCGUGCGCAGGCGGUUUUGUAAGUCUGACGUGAAAUCCCCGGGCUCAACCUGGGAAUUGCGUUGGAGACUGCAAGGCUGGAGUCUGGCAGAGGGGGGGGUAGAAUUCCACGUGUAGCAGUGAAAUGCGUAGAUAUGCGGAGGAACACCGAUGGCGAAGGCAAUCCCCUGGGCCUGCACUGACGCUCAUGCACGAAAGCGUGGGGAGCAAACAGG